rnacentral:misc_RNA from 1 species
UUCAGUACUGUAGCGUAGACUCUGUUUGGUAGGUGAGGUUAAUAAGUGAGUGCGCCGAGAAAAUUACCGUUGGUUCUGUCAGUUUUUUUAUUACCAAGGAAUUUGAACUGUUUACUCGGUUUUCACAUGUGCUUUUCUUCUAGUUCUUGUGGAUUUUAACUCAAGGGGAUGCUGAUACGUAUACAGGCGGCCUUCCUGGUCGCCAUAGUAUUUUUAUAUAGGGAUACAUUAGCACAGAAUUCGACAAAUAGUUUAUUUAGCUGUCCAGCAGGAUGGGAACUACGGGGUCUCAACUGUUAUAAAUUUUUCAAUAUUAGGCAUUCGUGGGAAAAAGCGGCGGAACUUUGUAGAAGAUAUGGUAGUGAAUUAAUGGCAGUAGAAUCAUAUAGUGAAAAUAACGUAACAGCAUCAAUAGCGACGUCUUCAGUGCCACUAGAAAGGCGAGGUGCCAACCAUUACUGGCUGGGUCUCUCCUCAUUAGAUGAUUUAAGGACGAACACUCUUGAAUCCGCUGCUGGUACCUUAGUAUCUCAAUAUUCAGGUUUCUGGUCUCCCAACCAACCCGACCCACAAUCCGGAGAGUGUGUAGACGUUAUCGUAACCGAAGAAUUCCAAUCAUGGGAACUAACCACUUGCGAAAGCCUUCAACCCUUCAUGUGUCGAUCGAAAGCAUGCCCAGCGGCAUCAUUCCACUGCUCAAAUGGGUUGUGCAUAAACGAAAAGUUCAAAUGCGACAAACAGGAUGAUUGUGGAGAUGGUUCCGAUGAAAUCGACUGUGCCACCAACUGCAACUUCUAUUUGGCCAGUAGUGGGGAUGUGGUUGAAAGCCCGUACUAUCCACACAAGUAUGCACCACUGACCAAUUGCAAAUGGACGCUAGAAGGACCACAAGGUCACAACAUUCUUCUCCAAUUUCAAGAAUUCGAAACAGAAAAGACCUUCGACACAGUCCAGAUUCUAGCAGGAGGAAGAACUGAAGACACAUCUAUCAAUCUAGCUACCCUUUCCGGAAAACAAGACCUUACUAACAGGUCAUUCGUCUCAGGCUCUAACUUUAUGAUAAUUAAAUUUAGUACAGACGCUUCGGUAGAAAGAAAAGGAUUCCGAGCUUCUUGGAAAACAGAACCACAAACUUGUGGUGGAACGCUUCGAGCUACUCCUCAAGGACAGGUUCUUACUUCUCCUGGAUACCCUGAACAAUAUCCAGGAGGUUUGGAAUGUUUGUAUGUAAUUCAGUCACAAGGAGGAAAGAUAAUAACUUUGGAAGUAGAUGAUUUGGAUUUGGAUGAUAACCGUGACUUUAUUUUGGUGAGGGAUGGCGAUUCACCCAAAAGCAAACCAAUUGCUAGGCUAACUGGAAAGUGGGAGAAUAAUCAAAAGGUGAUUAUGUCAACAGGGAAUCAACUAUAUGUUUACUUUAGAACACGUUUAGGCGACUCAAAACGAGGAUUCAGGAUCAGGUAUACACAAGGAUGUAAAGCAACAAUUGUGGCUAAAAAUGGGACUAUAUCAUCACCAGCUUUCGGUUUAGAAAACUAUCCUAGCAAUCAAGAAUGUAUGUACAAGAUUAGAAAUCCUGGAGGCCAACCCUUAUCCUUAAAUUUCCCACAUUUUGAAGUCGACAAAUCAGAUUUUGUACAAGUUUAUGAUGGAUCGACCACCAGUGGAUUACGAUUGCACUCAGGAAAUGGAUUUACAACAGGAACAAAACCAAAAAUCACCUUAACUGCUUCAAGUGGGGAAAUGCUAGUCAGAUUUGUGACAGAUGCUUUACAUAGUAACGAAGGAUGGGAAGCAGUAUUUUCAGCUGAUUGUCCACCUCUGCAACCUGGAAUUGGUGCUUUAGCAUCUAGUAGAGAUACAGCCUUCGGAACCAUCAUUACGUUUAGCUGUCCUACUGGGCAAGAAUUUGCAACAGGUAGAAAUCGUAUAACUACUCAAUGUUUGCCUGGAGGAAACUGGUCCAUAAGCUACAUCCCGAAAUGCCAAGAAGUCUAUUGUGGACCAGUACCUCAAAUUGACAACGGAUUCUCAAUUGGUUCGAGCAAUGUAACCUACAGAGGUCAAGCAAUGUAUCAGUGUUAUGCAGGUUUUGCUUUUCCCACAGGACAAGCUAUUGAACGGAUAUCUUGUUUGUCUGAUGGUCAUUGGGAGAAAAAACCAAAUUGUUUAGCAUCUCAAUGUGCAACAUUGCCUGAAGUUCCUCAUGCUAAUGCUACCAUUUUGAAUGGCUUAGGCAGAUCAUAUGGUACAAUUAUGAGAUACGAAUGCGAACCUGGAUACAUCAGAAGUGGACCACCUGUAAUAUUGUGCAUGAGUAAUGGAACUUGGUCGGGAGAUGUACCGGUUUGUUCACGUGCAAAAUGUCCCAAAUUCCCAGAAAUUCAAAACGGCUUCAUCACAGACAUUUCUAGAGACUACUACUACAACGACGAAGCACGUGUUCAGUGUUACAAAGGCUACAAACUUAUCGGCAACAGCAUCCUUAGAUGUGGCGAGAACCAGAUAUUUAAUAAUCCUCCCAGAUGUGAAGACAUCAACGAAUGUAUCAGCAGCCAAUGUGAUGUUGCUUCCACGGAAUGUGUGAACGUCCCAGGAUCUUUCCAUUGCAAGUGCAGAAAAGGAUUCGAAAGCACACAAGAAUGUAGACCAGUUGGUGAUUUGGGGUUGGUUAAUGGAGGAAUUCCUGAUGACUCGAUUACUGUGUCUAGCAGUGAACCAGGAUACGAGAAAUCGAUGGUUCGACUCAACGGAGCUGGCUGGUGUGGUAACACCAUCGAGGGAGGAUCCAAUUGGGUACUUAUUGACCUUAAAGCACCCACCGUUAUCAGAGGUUUCAGAACCAUGGCAGUUCAGCGAUUAGAUGGAAACAUAGCCUUUACUUCAGCAGUCAGAAUACAAUACACCGACGAUCUCACCGACGUUUUUAAAGAUUACAGAAAUCCUGAUGGAUUAGCUGUUGAGUUUACCAUCGAGAAACCAACCUUAUCUAUUUUAAAUCUUCCUGUACCGAUAGAAGCCCAGUUUAUCAAAUUUAAGAUUCAGGACUACGUAGGUGCACCUUGUUUGAAAAUAGAAGUAAUGGGUUGCACAAGGCUAGAGUGUGCUGAUAUUAAUGAAUGUGCAGUUAAUAAUGGAGGAUGUCAGCAGAAAUGUGUCAAUAGCGCAGGAGACUAUUCUUGCAAUUGUAAUGUUGGUUUCGAGCUCUACACCCAAAAUGGAACGGCGUCAAUUUACGUAGAGAAUUCUGAAAAUGGUCACAGAGAUGGAGAUGUGUAUCAAAUUGACAAAUCUUGUGUACCUGUCAUGUGUCCUACACUUACGUCUCCUGAAAACGGAGUCAUAUUAACCACCAAAGAUAAAUAUCACUUUGGAGAUCUAGUCAGAUUCCAGUGCGAUUUCGGUUAUGUCAUGACCGGAUCAACGUCUCUACUUUGCACUUCUUCUGGUGUAUGGAACGGAACAGUUCCAGAAUGCAAAUAUGCUCAAUGCGUGUCACUACCUGACAACAAAAACGAAGGACUAAAAAUAAUACGCAAUGAUGAAGACAGUGUCCUUGUACCUUUCCGAGAAAAUGUAACAUUGCACUGCAGUACUAAUGGAAGAGAGCUAAGGGGUACAGCAACUGCCGGAUUUAGACAGUGUGUAUACGAUCCCAAAGCAGGUUUUCCUGACUACUGGCUUAGCGGAGAUUUACCUUCUUGUCCACGAGUUGAUUGUGGUGUACCACCACCAAGUCCUGGAGCAGAGUACGGCCAGUACGUAGACACUAAAUACCAAUCAUCGUUCUUCUUUGGUUGCCAAAACACCUUCAAACUGGCUGGUCAAAGUAGUAAACACGACAACGUAGUCAGAUGUCAAGCUAACGGUGUUUGGGACUUUGGAGAUUUGAGAUGCGAAGGCCCAGUAUGUCAAGAUCCUGGAAGGCCCAGUGAUGGUUUCCAGAUCUCAAGAAGCUACGAACAAGGAUCAGAGAUUUCAUUUGGCUGUAAUAGACCUGGAUACAUACUUAUCAACCCAAGGCCUAUUACCUGUGUAAGAGAUCCUGAAUGUAAAGUUGUAAAGCCUCUAGGAAUAGCUUCUGGAAAGAUCCCCGAUUCAGCUAUUAACGCUACCAGUGAAAGACCAAAUUACGAAGCUAGAAAUGUACGGCUUAACUCCGUAACCGGAUGGUGUGGCAAGCAGGAAGCAUUUACCUACGUCAGCGUCGAUUUAGGGAAAGUGUACAGAGUAAAAGCUAUAUUGGUUAAAGGAGUUGUUACAAACGAUAUCGUGGGUAGACCUACUGAGAUUAGGUUUUUCUACAAACAAGCAGAUAAUGAAAACUACGUAGUUUACUUCCCUAACUUCAAUUUAACCAUGAGGGAUCCAGGAAACUAUGGAGAACUUGCCAUGAUAUCUUUACCCAAGUUUGUGCAAGCUAGGUUCGUUAUUUUGGGUAUAGUAAGUUAUAUGGAGAAUGCUUGUUUGAAGUUUGAAUUGAUGGGUUGUGAUGAACCCGAGAAGGAACCUCUACUGGGAUAUGAUUAUGGAUAUUCUCCUUGUGUUGAUAACGAAACUCCAGUGUUCCAAAGUUGCCCACAGCAACCAAUUAUUGUCCAAAAAGACGUAAAUGGUGGACUGCUUCCCGUAAACUUUACUGAACCAACUGCCGUGGACAAUUCAGGCAGUAUAGCCAGAUUGGAAGUAAAACCAGCAAGUUUUAGAACUCCGAUGUACGUGUUCGAUGAUAUGGUUGUCAAAUAUGUAGCUUAUGACUAUGAUGGAAACGUAGCCAUUUGUGAAAUCAACAUAACUGUCCCAGAUAAUACUCCACCUCAACUCAGCUGUCCUCAAAGUUAUGUAAUCGAAUUGGUUGAUAGGCAAGACAGCUACGCUAUUAACUUCAACGAAACGAGAAGAAGAUUAAACACCAGUGAUGCUUCUGGUGACGUACACAUCACUUUCAUCCCAGAUAAAGCGACCAUUUCUAUUGGAGCUUUUGAAAAUGUGACGGUUAUCGCUGCUGACAAGUAUGGCAACAAGGCAUCAUGUCACUUCCAAGUAUCAGUACAAGCAACACCUUGUGUAGAUUGGGAACUAAAACCUCCAGUUAAUGGGGCGCUUAACUGUUUACCAGGAGAUAAAGGACUACAAUGCAUCGGUACUUGCAACCCAGGAUUUAGAUUUACUGAUGGAGAUCCAGUGAAGACUUUCAUGUGCGAAACCAAUGGUCCUUGGAAACCUAGCUCUGUUAUUCCAGAUUGUGUAUCAGAAAAUACACAACAAGCCGACUACCAUUUUACCGCCUCAAUUAACUACAGAGCAAACGGAGCAGUAGCUAACUCCUGUUUGAACCAGUAUACUGAACUUUUGGCUCAAUACUACAAUAAUCUCAACACUCAAUUAUCAGACAGAUGUUCAGCAGUCAACGUAAAGAUGAAUGUUACCUUCAUCAAAUCUUUAGCUACCUUAGUUGAGGAGAAUGUAGUAAGAAUUGAUUAUAUUCUGGACAUAGUUCCUUUAUACAGGCAACCACAAAUCUACGAUUUGUGUGGUAGUACUCUUAAUCUAAUGUUUGAUUUAUCAGUUCCUUAUGCGAAUGCCGUUGUUGAACCUUUAUUAAAUGUGGCUGCCAUCGGCAAUCAGUGUCCACCUCUUAAAGCUCUAAAAUCUACAAAUGAAAGAGGCUUUACUUGUAACGUUGGCGAGGUACUUAAUAUGGACACGAACGAUGUACCAAGAUGCUUACAUUGCCCUGCCGGAACCUUUGCUGGUGAGAAACAAAAAGAAUGUACCUAUUGUCCAAAAGGUUUCUAUCAAAAUAGAGACAGGCAAGGCUCCUGCAACAGAUGUCCUCAAGGUACUUACACCCGCGAGGAAGGAUCAAAGAGCGUCCACGACUGUAUCCCUGUUUGUGGAUAUGGCACCUACUCCCCUACAGGAUUAGUACCUUGUCUCGAAUGUCCAAGGAAUAGUUUUACAAGCGAACCGCCAACAGGAGGAUUCAAAGACUGCCAGGCUUGUCCUGCGAACACAUUUACAUAUCAACCAGCUGCUGCAGGAAAGGAUAAAUGUAGACCAAAGUGUAGUCCUGGUUAUUACUCACCUACAGGCUUAGCGCCUUGUUCAAUGUGCCCCAAGAACUUCUAUCAAUCUAUUACAGGACAAACCGCCUGCAAUGAAUGUCCCAGUAACAUGAAGACAGAAGGACCUGGAGCCACAGGAAGAGACGAAUGUCGCGCUGUCCAGUGCAAAGAAAACGCUUGCCAACAUGGCGGACUCUGUAUCCCUAUGGGUCAUAAUGUUCACUGCUUCUGUCCUGCUGGAUUUACUGGCAGAAGAUGUGAAGUCGACAUCGACGAAUGUACCUCGCAACCAUGUUACAAUGGAGGAUCUUGCAUUGAUUUGCCACAAGGUUAUAAAUGUCAAUGUCCUCCGGGAUACUCUGGUAUUAACUGCCAAGAAGAGCGAUCAGACUGUUCGAAUGAUACAUGUCCUGCAAGGGCUAUGUGUAAAGAUGAACCUGGAUAUAACAACUAUACAUGUCUGUGUCGGUCUGGAUACACAGGAAUUGAUUGUGAUGUUACGAUCGAUCCAUGUACAGCAAAUGGAAAUCCGUGCAACAAUGGAGCCAGUUGUAUUGCUCUCCAACAGGGCAGAUUCAUGUGCGAAUGCUUACCAGGCUGGGAAGGGCAACUGUGCGAGACUAACAUCGACGAUUGUGCUGAGAAGCCUUGCUUGUUAGGAUCUAAUUGUACAGACUUAGUCAAUGAUUUCAGCUGUACUUGUCCCGCUGGUUUCACUGGAAAGAGAUGCCAAGAGAAAAUAAAUAUGUGCAGUAGCAGUCCAUGUAAGAAUGGAGUCUGUAUAGAUAAACUAUUCGACUACGAGUGCAUCUGCGACCCAGGUUGGACAGGUGAUAUAUGUGAAACAAACAUCAACGAUUGCCAACCUAAUCCUUGUCAAAAUGGAGGCCAUUGUGUUGAUGGAAUAGACGAUUUUAAGUGUACUUGUGAACCAGGAUUUACUGGAAAGAAAUGUCAGCAUACUUUAGAUUUCUGUUCGUCAAAACCAUGUCAAAACGGUGCUACUUGCACUGAUUUAGUCGAUGGUUUCUCUUGCAAAUGCAGACCAGGUUUUGUAGGACUUCAAUGCGAAGCUGAAAUUGACGAAUGUCUAAGUGAUCCUUGUAACUCAGUUGGAACUGAAAGAUGCGUCGAUUUGGACAACAAAUACGUGUGCAUGUGCAGAGAAGGGUAUACAGGAAAUGCUUGUGAGAUUAACAUCGACGAUUGUCAGUCCCAACCUUGCCUCAAUGGUGGGUCUUGCAGAGAUGAAGUUGGUUCUUACCGUUGUGUCUGCAAACCUGGAUGGACUGGUGGUAACUGCGAAGUUGAUAUCGGAAGCUGCCAAACCAGACCUUGUCAAAAUGAUGCCAGAUGUAUAGAUUUGUUCCAGGACUAUUUCUGUGUAUGUCCUUCGGGAACCGACGGAAAACAAUGUGAGACGGCACCAGAGAGAUGUAUCGGCAACCCUUGCAUGCACGGAGGAAAAUGCCAAGACUUUGGAUCAGGUCUAAACUGUUCUUGCAGUGAUGGUUUCAGCGGUAUUGGUUGUCAAUAUGAAUAUGAUGCCUGUCAAGUGAAAGCUUGUAAGAAUGGUGCUACUUGUACAAAUGACUUCCCUGGAUUCAAAUGUGUCUGUCCACCUGGAUAUACCGGCAAGUUCUGCGAGGAGGAUAUUGUUGAUUGUAAGGAGAAUUCUUGUCCACCCAGCGCCACUUGCAUAGAUCUAACCGGCAAAUUCUACUGUCAGUGUCCUUUCAACCUUACAGGAGAAGACUGUAGAAAAACAAUUUCUGUUGACUAUGAUCUCUACUUCAGUGAUGCUACUCGCAGCUCUGCUUCACAAGUUAUUCCCUUCUAUACAGGAUCCAAAUCUAGUCUUACCAUUGCAUUGUGGGUACAAUUCACGCAAAAAGAUGAAAAUGGAAUAUUUUUCACCUUGUAUAGUGUGUCUGACAAACAUGUUCCAAAUAAUAGACGUCCUAUAGUACAGGCUCACUCUAACGGUGUUCAGAUCUCUAUCUUCCCUGACUUACAAGAUGUAUACCUAAGUUAUCGGGACUAUACAACAAUAAACGAUGCUCAGUGGCACCAUCUUGCUAUCGUUUGGGACGGAGAAAAUGGUGGAGAGCUUAAACUAAUUACUGAAGGUCUCAUCGCUAGCAAAGUUAAGGGAUACGGAAGUGGAAGGAAACUACCACAGUAUGCUUGGGUUACUUUGGGUAAACCACAAACAGGAAAUCCUAAAGCCUACACUGAAUCUGGCUUCCAAGGACACCUGACAAAGGUACAAAUAUGGGGACGAGCCUUAGACGUUACAAACGAGGUACAGAAGCAGGUCAGAGACUGCAGAACGGAACCAGUAUUAUACAGAGGUUUAAUCUUAACAUGGGCUGGAUACGAAGAUACCAUUGGCGGUGUGGAAAGAAUAGUACCGUCUCACUGCGGACAACGCAAUUGUCCACCAGGAUACAAGGGAUCGAAGUGUCAAGAGCUAGAAGUUGACAAGAUACCUCCAAAGGUUGAGUACUGUCCUGGAGAUCUAUGGAUAAUAACCAAAAACGGAUCUGCUCUUGUAGUAUGGGAUGAACCAAGUUUCAGCGAUAACGUAGGAGUGGCUAAAGUUCAAGAGAAGAGUGGACAUAGACCUGGACAGACACUUUUGUGGGGAAUAUACCAAAUAGCUUAUGUAGCUUCUGAUGCUGCAGGAAAUACUGCCACCUGUACCUUCAAAGUAUCAGUUCUGUCUGAGUUCUGCCCUGAACUGCCUGACCCAAUUGGUGGUAUGCAGUCCUGCAAAGAUUGGGGCGCUGGUGGCCAAUUCAAGGUGUGCGAAAUCGGCUGUAACCCCGGCUUACGUUUCUCACAAGAGAUCCCACUAUUCUACACCUGUGGAGCUGAAGGCUUCUGGAGACCGACCAAAAAUCCCAACCUCCCUCUAGUCUAUCCAGCUUGUUCCUCAGCUAAACCAGCUCAAAGAGUCUUCAGAAUCGAAAUGUUGUUCCCUAGUUCAGUACUAUGUAACGAAGCUGGACAAGGAGUGCUUAAGCAAAAGGUACGACAUGCAGUAAACGCUUUGAAUAGAGACUGGAACUUCUGUUCAUUCUCUGUCGAUGGUACAAGAGAAUGCAAAGAGUUGAACAUUGAUGUUAAAUGCGACCACAGAGCUGGAAGACAGACCAGACAAGCUAGUGAAGAUGAAGAUGGUGGAACUUAUGUUAUUAAGACUGAUGUGCCAGUUGAAAAAAGUUCCCGACAAGGCAGACAGUCGUCCAGCGACACCUACGACAUUGAAAUCACCUUCCCAGCUAUCAAUGAUCCUGUGGUCAAUAUAAACACGAAUGAAAGGACGACGGUCAAAGCUCUCUUAGAGAAACUCAUUUUGGAAGAAGAUCAGUUUGACGUUGGAGAUAUUCUACCCAACACAGUGCCUGAUCCAUCUUCCCUUCUUCUUCAGUCCGACUACGCUUGUCCUGUUGGACAGGUUGUUAUGGCGCCAGAUUGUGUUCCUUGUGCUAUCGGUACCUACUACGACAAGGACACCAAAACAUGUAUAUCAUGUGCCAAAGGCUACUACCAAAGUGAAACUGGCCAGACUCAAUGUAUCCAAUGUCCAGCUAUAGCAGGUAGAUCAGGCGUCACUGUAACCGUCGGUGCUCGAAGUGCAGCAGAUUGUAAAGAACGCUGUCCCGCUGGUAAAUUCUACGACCAUGAAGCAGGCCUCUGUAGGAGCUGUGGAUACGGUUUUUACCAACCCAACGAAGGAUCCUUCUCUUGCGAAAUCUGCGGCCUCGGCAAAACUACACGAACCAACGAAGCAGUAUCGAUUAAGGAAUGUAGAGACGAAUGCGCUAAUGGUCUACAGCUAGGAAUCGAUGGUAAAUGUGAACCGUGUCCAAGAGGAACCUACAGAACCCAAGGUAUCGAAUCUGCUUGCCAGAUGUGUCCCUUGGACUAUACGACGCAGAAAACUGGAGCUGUCACAAGAGAGGAAUGUUCUUUGCCUGUGUGCAAACCGGGUACAUACUUGAAUGGAACUCUGAACAGAUGCGACGAGUGUAAGAAAGGAUUUUAUCAGUCAGAAUAUCAGCAGACUUCCUGUAUUCCGUGCCCUCCAAAUACGAGUACCAAAGGACCUGCAGGAACCAGCAAAUCCGAGUGUACCAAUCCCUGCGAGACCAAUGAUCCUGAAAUGCAAUGUGACGUCAACGCCUACUGCCUCCUCAUCCCCGAAGGGCCGAAGCAGGGCGAAUUCGACUGCGAGUGUAAACCUGGCUUUAACGGUACCGGCACAAUCGGUAACUGCUUUGAUGUCUGCGACGGAUAUUGCGAAAACGAAGGCACUUGCGUCAAAGAUGUUAGAGGGCAGCCAUCGUGUAGAUGUAUUGGCAGCUUUACUGGAAAGCACUGCGCAGAGAAAUCCGAAUUUGCUUAUAUUGUCGGUGGUAUUGCUGCUUCCGUCAUCCUUAUUAUCUUUAUCGUACUUUUGAUUUGGAUGAUUUGUGCAAGGGCAAGCCGAAGGAAAGAACCAAAGAAACUCCUCACUCCCGCCACCGAUCAGAACGGCUCCCAAGUAAACUUCUACUACGGAGCCCCAACUCCGUACGCCGAAAGCAUAGCUCCUAGUCAUCACUCCACAUACGCACACUACUACGAUGACGAAGAAGACGGCUGGGAGAUGCCCAACUUCUACAACGAGACCUACAUGAAGGAGAGCUUGCACAACGGAGUCAACGGCAAGAUGAAUAGUUUAGCUAGGUCUAAUGCCAGUAUAUAUGGUACAAAAGACGACCUCUACGAUAGACUGAAACGCCAUGCCUAUCCUGGCAAAAAAGAUAAAAGUGACAGUGAGAGUGAAGGUCAAUAAACUAAAUCUGGUCAUUAUCUGUCAAUGCUCAAGUAGCAAAUAUCUCUAGUGAAUAUUAUAUUAAUGCAUUUUUGAUGUAAGUACCAUACGAACGUUUAAUUUAUAUUUACACGUAACUAGGUACAUUUUGUAAUAUAUAAAUGAACAUUGUAUUUGUUGAACUAUAUUUUACGUAUAUUUAUAUUUCAUAGUGGUAGUUCUGUAAAUAUUAAAAUUGGUGGGGACAUAUACGUAACUUAGUACGUGAUUAGUUUUUUUCUACGAGUUAUAACUUCCACAAUACCUAUAGUCACAGCCGAGAAAAAACGCGCAAAACGCCGCUUGAGCAUCUUCCAAUGGAGUAAUCAUUCAAAAAGCUCAUUUUGGCACCCCCCAAACUCGGGUCCCGCCUGCAGUGCAUCCCUUGUAAGACAGUUAUCACCGGACCUGAAAAUAUCCUCUCUGUAUGAUUGAAUCAGGAUCUGUGAAUACUGUUCAGCCGUGCUUCUUCUUGGCGAUGAAUAUAAUAUACAGUUCUAAAUAAUAAUACUCUGAAGUAUAUAACUAUGUAAAAAAAGAUUAAGUACAUCUACAUAGGUUAUGGUUUGAGUUAAGAUGUACCCACAUUCCCGUUGUUUUUACGUGGUACUACGGUUUAGAAAGUGACAACUUUAUUAUACCAAUAUCACUGACUUUGUCACCUUUUAAACUAUUUCAAAGUAUCUUAAAGUUUAAUAACAACUUGUAUGAAAUUAUUUUACUGUUCUAGUAUUUAUUUAUUAAAAAUUAAAUUAUAAGUUUCAAUAUUUCUAUCAUAAAAUUGAAUCUUCUACAUCAAAAGUAUUAUACGCAUCACGUUUGCAGCAGAUAUUGCAGCUAGUUCGAUUCUCUAUAUUAAAAAUUCGAUUACAAAAUACAUUUUAAUGCGUUAAGACCCCGGAUCUUCAAACCACCGUUGUAUUUGAAUUGUCUGUACUAUCCUCACUAUGACGUAUAGAAAAUACUGAUUAUAAAGAACUUUCUUGGCGUGGAUUUUAAAAGUAUCCAUUUUAGUAGAAUAUGUCAAAUAAAUCAUGAAAAUGAUUGGGUGAUGCGAAGCAAAAAUACGCCUAAAGAAAUCCGGCUCAAAGGACCAUACCGAAAAACCGGAGGUUCAUUCACGAAUUUCCUGUUGGACAUCAAACCCUUGUGACGAUCUGCGGAAUUGGAUGUACUUGCAGGAUUUUGGAUGUAGAUUGCUGGUUCUAUUCGUCUUUUGUAGCAAAAAUACGUCUAAAGGAAUCCGGAUCUAAGGACCAUAAAGAAAAAAGUUACGAACAUGGCAUAGAAUUGCACAUAUUGUUUAUUGAUUUCCAGCAGGCUUUCGACAGCAUCUACAGAAAACAGCUAUUAAAAGAAAUGAAAAAUAUGAAUAUACCUGCAAAAUUAAUAAGAUUGACCAGAAUGACAAUGAUGGACACAACAGCAAAGGUCAAAACAGUGGAUGGUGAAACGAAGAAUAUCAACAUAGAACACGGGGUAAGACAAGGUGACAGCCUAUCGACAACGCUCUUUAAUAUAGCCUUGGAGGGAGUAAUUAAAAACACAGGACUAACAAAAAAGACAAUAAUCCAAAGUUCUACACAAAUAAUAGGGUAUGCAGACGACCUAGGGUUGAUAGCCCGUGACAAGAGAAGUCUAGAAGAUGCACUGCUAACAUUGACAAGAGAGGCAAAAAUCAGGGGGUUAAUAAUUAAUCAGAAAAAAACAAAAUACUUAAUAAGUACGAGAAAUCAAGACCAAGUAAAUAGAAUAAAAGAGAUAAGAAUAAGUGAUAAUGUAUUCCAAAGGGUUGACUGCUUUAAAUACUUAGGAGUGAUAGUAGAUGGUCAAAACAGAAGAAACAUAGAGAUAAAUGAAAGAGUUAAAGCAGGGAAUAGGGAAUUCUGGAAAUACCACAAGUUACUUAAAGAUAAAAACCUAAGCAAGAAAACAAAGACAAAGAUAUAUAGAGCGGCAAUUAGACCAGUCAUCACUUAUGGAGCAGAAGCAAUGUGCUUUACAAAAAAAGAUGAAGAAAAACUGAGAAUAAUAGAAAGAAAAAUUAUUAGAAGAAUACAUGGCCCAAUCAAAACAGAUCAAGGAGAAAUACGAAUUCUGAUGAAUCACGAAAUAAGAAAUCUAAUGAAAGGAGAAGAUAUAGUGAGAUUCAUUAAAGCACAAAGGCUAAAAUGGUUUGGCCACAUCCAACGAAGACAAGCAGAUGCACUAAUUAGGCAGAUAACAAAUUGGACGCCAGUAAUAAACAGACCUAGAGGAAGACCGAAAAUAAGAUGGGAAGACCAACUGCGAGAGGAUAUAUCCAAUAUGGAAAUUACAGGCUGGAGAGAAAAAAUACAGAAUAGGAAAGAAUGGAAACAGAUUACAGAAAAAGCAAAAAAACACGAAAAUCUAUAAAGGAUAAUGAAGAGGAAUUAUGCGGACCAAUCCACCGCAUGAAAUGGAUUAAAAGAGCUCAUGAACCUGAGCGACCUAUACUCUAUACUAGAGUGACCGGUCUAUAUAUAUGUCAAAUAAAUCAUGAAAAUGAUUGGGUGAUGCGAAGCAAAAAUACGCCUAAAGAAAUCUGGCUCAAAGGACCAUACCGAAAAACCGGAGGUUCAUUCACGAAUUUCCUGUUGGACAUCAAACCCUUGUGACGAUCUGCGGAAUUGGAUGUACUUGCAGGAUUUUGGAUGUAGAUUGCUGGUUCUAUUCGUCUUUUGUAGCAAAAAUACGUCUAAAGGAAUCCGGAUCUAAGGACCAUAAAGGAAAAGCGGGUGUUUAUUCACGAAUUUCGUAUUGGGCAUCAAAAUCAAACCUUUCUGACGACCUACCUAAUUGGCUGUACUCACAGGAUUUUGGGUGUAGGUUGCUGGAUCUGUUCGUCUCUUGUGGAAAUAGCACCGAAAUAGAAUCAUAUGGAGAAAUAAAAGUACCUGAAAUACCUUUUGCAUAAUCUCUAACCAAAUCAUUUAAUUUUACCGGCAAUAUGAUCGAAUUGGUAUUUAAACGAAUACCAUCCUUCAAUACAAGUCAAGUAUUUGUUGAAUGUAUAUUUGCAGAACUACUAUUCAUGUUGUUAAUACUUAUAUCCCAGUUAAACCUUUGUUAUGUAAAAUAUGUAUCAGGAGGACUGAUUUCUAAAACUACUAAACUGUACCUCGUGUCAUAUUGACAGUUAUUUUGACAGUAAAAUAAGUAAUGUAGAAAAGUAGAUCGUAUGCACACCUCAGAAAAAUCUAAUUUAACGGUUUGAACAACGUUACGUUUAUGUAUUGAAACAAGGUUUGUUGUAGUUUACUUUAAAGUACAAAAAUAUUAAUUACUUUUGUGUUAAGAGUGUCAGAAUAAUCGUUCCUUAUGUAGAAAAACUAUUCUUUUUUCUGUGCCCAAAUAACAUAGGUUUGAUUAUUGAAAUACAUAGGUUUGUUCCAACUCGACACAAAACCGUUCUUGAAUCGUUACGCGCAUGCGCAAUAACGAAUAAUUAUGCGCAGUAACACAUUUUUCGUUACUGCGCGUACUCGUAACCGUUCAAGAACGUUUUUGUUUCGAGUUGGAACAAACCUCAUGUAUACAGUUGAAAUUUAUUAUUAUUCCUGUAAAAACUUUUUUGUUUGUAGAGUUUGUUUAGCAGUAAAUGGUUGACUUAUAGUACCGACUAUAAACAUCCUGGGUUAACAGGUAAUAGUAUAAAAGGCCCGGUUUCAGGUAAAAUUUAAAUAUGUUUGAAUGUUUGUUUUUCUAUAAUCUUAGCAAUUAAAAUAGAUUUAAUUUAUUUUAAAACUCAUUUGAAAACAUUAAUUUUGGGUAUAUAAGACAAAGCAAUAUAUUUUACAUCCGUUUUUUGUUUUUGUCGUCGUGAUUAUUGUAAAUUUUGUGGAUCCUUUGCUUUAUUAUAGCAGUACCGUCUAGUCAGUGUUAAUUAUCAAAAGACCAACUCUGUCUACCUCGUUUGCUUAUCGCGCCGGACCGGUCUUAACAAUGGGCCAAGUCAGAUAAAUUUAAUAAUAUUUACGACCGCACUAAUUGAAGUCAACCAUUUACUGCUAAACAAACUUUACCUAAUACAUUUAUCGUGGUUUGUAAACGGUUUUAGCCCUUUAGUGAAAACAGCAAUUUUUAUUUUCAAAGAAAUUUUAUUCACUAACAUAAUCUCCGAUAGUAUAAUGCCGAUUAUAUCAAUAAAUGCAUUUCAUCCACUCGUCUUCCAGUGCCGUUUUAAUCUAUCAAUGAUGUUUACGAAGUAUGCAAGGUGCAACACCAAUGGCUUCUUUAUUCUUGAUUAUCUUAACCUUAAGAUCUGUUUUCAUCAACAAUUUCGUCUAAAGCAUAAAAAUUGUUAUUUCCUGGGGUAAUUUUCAAACAUCAUUGAGUCGGCUUACCCUAACCUAACUCAACAUUACCAAAACUUUUAUACAAAAACGAUAAGAACUGAUCCUGACGACUUCUAAUUAAGAUUUUAUCAGUAUUAAUGACAUCCAACAUUACUACUACAUUCCAAUAAAUUUUUCCAUUUUAAAUCACCAUUUAAAUCAUAUACAGCCGGAAAAAUGAAAGAUUACUCAUGAACGAUCACAUCAAUCACUUAUUUUGUAGGUAUUUGCUGUCUUUUUCUAUAACAAAAGUUUGUUAUAUAUAGAAAAAGACAGCAAAUACAAAAUAAAUGAUUGAUGUGAUCGUUCAUGGGUAAUCUUUCAUUUUUCCGACUGUAUUUACGUAGAGCCUGUUGAUCAAAAAUCUUCAGAAAUACCUUUCUCUGAUUAUUAUUAACUACAAAUCCAACGAACUUUAUACAACGAAUAUACAGAACUUUGUUUCAAGUAAAUGUUAUAGAAGUAAAAUAUAUUUUGUACAUUUUGUAAAAAUCUAAUGCGUUUAAAUAUGUUUUAUGAAAAUUUGAGUUUUAUAUCCAUUGCGUUGUGAACAGUUCAGCGUAGUUCAUAUUUUGUAAAAAAAAUCAAACGAUCUAUGAAUUAAAAUAUUUAAUUUAAAUAGGAAACAUUUAUAUUUUUAUAUUCUAACUUAGAUUUAUUAAAAUGUGUAUGUAUAUUGAAUCGUAUGUAUGAUAAACAGUGUGAAUAUUUUUAUACUUAAAAGAAUGACUGAAAAAUACAACAGAAAAAAUUG